ensembl:lncRNA
CCCAGGGCAAGGCUCAUCCAUUGCACUCUGGAUGAGCUGACCCUUGCAAUUUCCCCAAAUGUGGGACCUCAACUGCGUAAUUUGUGGUAAAGGGGGACUGUGUUUGUGCUUUCUCCUAGUAAUGAAGGAAAAGGAAAAAGAGACUGUCCUGGAGAGAUGAGGACUGAGAAACCCAACCCAGCCCCUGGCUCCAAGGAGUCCCGGCCCAGCCCUGGAGACAGCCCUUAUCAGCUGCCAUCCCAGCUUCCUGUUUUUCAGUGGGCUGGGGACUGGGGCUGAAGGAACAUCUGCUUCUGUUUAUUCUUCCCCUUUAUCUUAAUGGGUUCCCUGAGAUGGCUCCCUGGGACACCUCUCACCACUGCUCUGUGUACUCAGAUCCAAACCCUUCUUUCUUGCUUCUCUUUUACGGAAGUUUUGAAGAAUGAAUGGUUACACAACAGAUGGCCAGCCGGUCUACCUAGAAGGGCCUUACAAAGGACAGCGCCUCCGUGGGGAAGGCUCGCCCUGGAUCAGACGCUGGAUCGCAGAUUUACCGUGAAUGAAGCCCUUGGAGACUGAAUGAUGUUAAAAAUUCAAAAACAACUCAGGAAAUAUUUAUUUGAAGGCCUGCUGUUCUUCAAGUCCCUGGAAUACAGAUAUGAGAAGAGUCACUGCUGCCCAAGAGCUGACUGACUGUGGAGGAAGACCAUGCUAGCGGACGACUACAUUUUCUACCACCUAGCACCGGCUCCCCCUUCUCCUGGUAAUGGUAUCUGCAGACAACCUCCUCAGUCUGUGUGCUUUCCGUGGAACUGAAUCUACCCCUGGCUCAACAGCUCAGGUACAGCCUCUGGCCUGGCUGCAGCGAUUAGUUUAGAGAGGGACUUGUAACCUCAUCAAAGCCUGAUAUUGUUCAGGGUAACAUACUAGAUAUAUUUUGCUAGGAUUGCCAAUAAUCAUUUAUUUAAGCUCCUUAAAUGAGGUUUCCUGUCAUUUGCAACUGAAAAAGCUCUGUGUAGCAGGUUGAGUAGUGUUCACCCCCUGCCCACAAAAUACAUUCACAUCCACCCAGAACUUUAGAAUAUGAUUUUUUUAAUUUUUUUUGAGACAGUCUUACUCUAUCACCAGGCUAGAGUGCAGUGGCAUAAUCUCAGCUCACUGCAACCUCAGCCUCCCAAGUAGCGGGGACUACAGGUGUGUGCCACCACGCCCAGCUAAUUUUUAUAUUAUUAGUAGAGACAGGGUUUCACCAUGUUGGCCAGGAUAGUCUAUCUCUUGACCUUGUGAUCUGCCCACGUCGGCCUCCCAAAGUGCUGGGAUUACAGGUGUGAGCAACCGUGCCUGGCCUGGUCUUAUUUUUAAAAGUCUUUGCAGAUGUCAUUAGUUAAGGAUCUUGAGAUGCAAUCAUUAUGGAUGUAAAUUUAGGUGGACCCUAAAUCUAACAAUUGGUAUCCUUAUAUGAUGAGGAGAUAUCACAGAGAGAUGCAGAGACACAGGGAAUAUGACUGUGUGAAGAGGGAGGCAGAGGGUAGGGCCAUGCUGCCAUAAGGCGAGGAUGCCUGGGCCACCAGAGGCUAGGAAGGGGCAAGGAAGGCCCCCCCGCUUAGAGCCUUCAGGGGGAGCAUAGCUCUCCUGACACUUGAUUUCCAACUUCUAGCCUCCAGAACGGUGAGAGAGAAUUUUCCAUUGUUUUAAGCCAACCAGCCUGUGGCACCUGGGUAAUGGCAGCCCUAGGAAACAAGUGCACUCUAACAUGUGAAAUCACUCAACAGAUAUUUAUUGGUUCCUAAUAUGUGUCUGAAGAGGACUUAGUAUAAAAUCCAGAGAAGACGGAUAUGGAGGCUGUAGAGAGGUAUUUCAGCUGGGACAUUAUGAAGCCUAAAGAACUAUCUGUCCCACUGCCUUGUAUCCCAAUGGGUGCCUCUGGAAGGGCCUGGAGAAACCAUGGAAUUUAUGUUCUCUGGGCUCCCUUUUUGUAGGCUUAUUUUGUUUCAAGACAGGGACUUGCUCUGUCGCCCAGGCUGGAGUGCAGUGGCGCAAUCACGGCUCACUGCAGCCUCAAUCUGCCAGGCUUAAGCAAUCCUCCCAUCUCAGCCUCCCAAGUAGCUGGGACUAUAGGUACAUGCCACCACGCCCAGAUAAUUGUUGUAUUUUUGUAGAGAUAAGGUUUCACCAUGUUGCCCAGGCUGGUCUUGAACUCCUGGGCUCAAGUCAUCUGCCCACCUCGGCUUCUCGCAGGGCUGCGAUUUCAGGCGUGAACCCCCCGGCCCGGCCUCCCUAGGCUUUUUGCAGGUCAUUCUCCUAAUGUAUGGAUGUCUUUCCUCAGUAAGGACGUGAGCUCUGCUUGAUAUAAAUUGAAAAUAUUCGGCCGGGCGCGGUGGCUCACACCUGUAAUCCCAGCGCUACAGGCGAAUCAUGGCAGGUGAAUCAUGAGGUCAGGAGUUCAAGACCAGCCUGACCAAUAUGGUGAAACCCCGUCUCUACUAAAAAUAGAAAAAUUAGCUGGGCAUGGUGGUGCAUGCCUGUAACCCCAGCUACAUGGGAGGCUGAGGAAGGAGAAUCGCUUGGACCCAGGAGGCAGAGGUUGCAGUGAGCCCAGAUCACGCACUGCACUCCAGCCUGGGCAACAGAGUGAGACUCUAUCUCAAAAAAAAAAAAAAAAAAAGAAAGAAAGAAAAAGAAAAUAUUCCUCCCAGUUUGUUCUUUGUUUAUAGUGAUUUUUGCCUUGCAGAAUUUCUUUUUUUUUCUUUUUUUUUUUUUGAGAGGAGUCUUGCUCUUGUUGCCCAGGCUGGAGUGCUGCAAUGGUGUGAUCUCAGCUUACUGCAACCCCUGUCUCCCGAGUUCAACCCAAUUUUCCUGUCUCAGCCUGUCGAUUCAGGCAAUGUGCCAGCACAGCUA